rnacentral:rRNA from 1 species
AUGUACAUUCCUACAACAUAGCGUUGAUGCACCAUAUCCCAUUAGAAAUUCGUAGUUAAGAGUGCUCGGGCUAGAGUAGUACUGGGUCGGGUGACCACUUGGGAAUUCCUAAAUGUUUACAUG